rnacentral:rRNA from 1 species
AUGGAUGACAAACCUCCUGACAACUUCAUCACUAAUCAGGAUGGUGCAAUGAGGCAGUCAAUACAAAGCAUCUUUCCAACCACCUUGCACCGCUAUUGUCGAUGGCACAUCAUGAAAAAGGCUCAGGAAAAAGUUGGUUGGCUGCUAUGCCGGAAUCCAGGACUCUCUGAUGAUUUCAACAAGUGUGUUGACUUCAACUUCACUAUAGACGAGUUUGAGCAGAAUUGGGCUAGGUUAAUGGUGAAGUACGAGGCUAUGACACACACACACACUUUGAGAAGUUGUACGAAUACAGGUCAACUUGGGUGCCGUGCUACUUCAAACAUAGGUUCUUCCCAUUCCUACAGUCUACACAGCGUAGUGAGGGGUUCAACACCGUCCUGA